CAUCCUACGGGGGGCAGCAGUGGGGAAUAUUGCACAAUGGGGGAAGCCCUGAUGCAGCGACGCCGCGUGAGUGAAGAAGUAUUUCGGUACGUAAAGCUCUAUCAGCAGGGAAGAAAAAAAGUCCUUUGGACUUUGGACGGUACCUGACUAAGAAGCCCCGGCUAACUACGUGCCAGCAGCCGCGGUAAUACGUAGGGGGCAAGCGUUAUCCGGAUUUACUGGGUGUAAAGGGAGCGUAGACGGCAGCGCAAGUCUGGAGUGAAUGGCCGGGGCCCAACCCCGGAACGGCUUUGGAAACUG
rnacentral:rRNA from 1 species